rnacentral:ncRNA from 1 species
UAAGUGGAGAGUUUGAUCCUGGCUCAGAACAAACGCUGGCGGCGUGCUUAACACAUGCAAGUCGAACGAGAAAUUCCCUGCUUGCAGGGAAGAGUAAAGUGGCGCACGGGUGAGUAACGCGUGGGUAACCUACCUUUGAWUUCGGAUAGCCCGUCGAAAGGUGGAUUAAUACCGGA